rnacentral:rRNA from 1 species
UACAGAGGUCUCAAGCGUUGUUCGGAUUCAUUGGGCGUAAAGGGCGCGUAGGCGGCGCGGUAAGUCACUUGUGAAAUCUCUGAGCUUAACUCAGAACGGCCAAGUGAUACUGCAGUGCUAGAGUGCAGAAGGGGCAAUCGGAAUUCUUGGUGUAGCGGUGAAAUGCGUAGAUAUCAAGAGGAACACCUGAGGUGAAGACGGGUUGCUAGGCUGACACUGACGCUGAGGCGCGAAAGCCAGGGGAGCAAACGGG